ACUCCUGCAGUAGCAUUACUCAAUAGGACAUUAACAAGGGUCGUUAGGGCUCUCGAGUGUCGAAAAGAAUGACCGGCAAAGUCGCCCGUCGCACUGGAAACUACUCGUCUGAAACUCCCCUCAUCGCCGGACGUGGUGGUGAGCGUGAACGGCGACAAGCUUGGAAAAAAUUGGAGCGGCUAGUCAGGAAUCUGAGUCUGGUGGCGGCAAAUGUCUCGUUGAUCAGCGUUUACGUUGCCUUUAGGGGUUCGAAGCUGGAUAACCACUUAGGGUUCCACCCGAUAUGGCUUCCGAUCCUUUUCUUCAUCGCCCAUCUCGCUGUCACUGUGAUUCUCCGCAUGAGGGACCUUUUCGCCCCCACCUAUUCUUCUCCGGCGUGAUCUUCAAGCCCACUGCCGUUAUCUCGGUCAAGACGUCACUACGUCUCUCCUUCUCCUGGAUUCGAUUACUAUAUCUUCAACUGCACCAAUCCUUUAGGUGUUUCAUACCUGCCGGAAUUGAGCUUCACUGGGUAGAAAAUUUUAGAUCCAUCAUCCUCUCUCUCAAUAUUGAACCCUAACCCUAACCUACUUGACUUGAUCUUAGGUGAGUGUAACGAGCCAAUUUUGGUUCCUCCAUCCUCUCUCAAAACAUUGAACACCAACUAUAACCUACUUGACUGGCAAAUUGUUGUGGCACAAGCUCUACCCUGGCCAUGGCCACCUUCCUCCGCCCCGGGCUGUCGUAUACCCCAACCCAUAGAUUAUUCUGUAUCUUCAUCUUUUUCUCAUUUCGUCUCUACGCGGAUUCGGAGUACCCCUGCUUGGCUUUUGGGGCUUUAUCCAUCUACACCCUUUUCUUAAGGUUAUAUUGAGCAUCGUGCCCAGGAUGCUCCAGACACGUAGACUCUGGCACAGAGUGCUUCAGUGCGAAGGCCGCUAUGCGCUCACAGAGACAGCACCAAGCAUGAGCAUUAAUGGCUAGGAAAUGAUGAUUCCUCUUGCAUUUUUUGGGGUAACUAUAUAUGAAUGACCACCUCUUGUUAUCUUCUUUGGAGUCUAGAAUGUUUUUUAUUGAUGAUCCAAUUGCAAUCUUAUACUAGAAUGAAAAUCAGAAUCUUCUAUACAAUUGUAAUCGAACCCAAUUGUACCCAUAUAUACUAAAAAGAAAACUGAAAUCUGCUAUACAAUUAUAUGUUAUGCUUCAAACUCUGUCUGUAAAACAAAAGGUCUUAGAAAUGAUAACAUUUCAGAAAGUCAUUAUAAAUACUGAAAAAAGUUCUCACUUUGUAUGUAGUCUAUAGCAUUCAAGGGUACUCUUCCCUAGGUUAUGCAUGUAUUUCCAGGAAGGUUGCAAUUAAGAUGGCAAGUACCCGUCAUCUUUGGUAGCACAGCUGCGAGCUUGCAACUAGGAUGCUUCAGAAAGUCAGCUGGUUUUGUCUGUGGUUGUGAUCAUUGAGACUGAUCCAAUUAGCCUGCUCUGUUUUUUGGGGGGUCACUGCUGCAUAUGUUGGACAUUGAUUAGUUAUAUAGUAUGCAUAACAGUGAACAAAGCCUGCUGCCUUUGUAUUUCACCUAACAUCUCCCGCCCCUUUUUGUAUGUUUGGAACUGUAAUAAAUUCGAUCUUUUAUUUUAAGUGAUGCAGAAGAUAUAAAUGUGUUAAGUGCCAAGUAUAUUUAAAUCUGGCAUCAAACUAUUAUAAUAGCAUUUCAAUUUGGAUCAAUUAUUGGAUUUGGGUUUUCCAAGCGACGGUCAUUGUCAUUCCUUGCUGUCAUAUUGUGAUAGCCAAUAUCCCCUUCCUGGUUCAGGUUUUUAACUAUAAACUUAAAGCAGUACAUAAUAUUCUCUAAGCUAUACAAUUCUUCUGCAUGUUUUGUCUGCUAAGUGGAACAUUCGGCUUUAUUUAUGUCUUCGUUAACUAAUUUGUUAUGUAGAUCUUUGUAUAUAUAGAUUUAUGUAUGGAAAAUCUUCAGGUAAGCUCAAAGAUUACCUUUAUUGAAAGUGGUGGUUGCAGCUUUGUAUCUGGAUAGCACUACAUGUUGCAGAUCAGAAAUGGAACCUUAGGCAAUGGAGUAGGUGGUGUGCCCAGUUGAUGGAACAUAUUUUGGUUGAAUUGUUUAACGAGUAUGCAUUUUGGUUAAAGAAUGUACAAUGUCUCUAGCAAUCAUACAUUCUUAAGCAUUGCCCAUUUUCUGUUCCCUAGAUCUGAAUCCUUUCUCAAGUAUGUAAAUUCUUAAGCAUUGCCCAUUUUCUUUGUUGCUUAUGGUGCUCUAAACUUGCUCUUCAUUUAUGGCAAUGCAUGGUAGUUACUGUUGUGGAGA